rnacentral:misc_RNA from 1 species
AGUAAUUGAAAGAAAAAAGCUUUGAAAACUCUUUGCUUAUAAUCUGACUUCAUUGUCCUUCGUGACCAAGAAAAUUUCAAGAACCCACAAAUUGGAAAAUGGAAAUUAAAAAUACAAGGGUCAAAUUUAAUUAAAUUAGGAAUUGAUUAUCGAAUUAUGCCUAUUGAAUGGAACAAAAUGUGAUAGGGAGCCUCUUAGGCAAGAAGUUGAACACCGAUCUAGCUCCAAUGUAAGAGGCUGGUCUUGUACAAACUUUGGUGAGCAUGCUUCAUAUUUUCUCGAUUGCAUUAACCUCUUUUCAUCCACCAUGAGAAUUCCACCGAGUUUGACAGCCAU